AGAGUUUGAUCAUGGCUCAGAACGAACGCUGGCGGCGUGCCUUAUACAUGCAAGUCGAGCGGAGGUCGGUUCUUUCCCGGAUUACCUUUUAGGUUAUUUCGGGUUAGAACUGAUCUCAGCGGCGGACGGGUGAGUAACACGUGGGUAAUCUACCCCUGAGACCGGGAUAACACCUCGAAAGGGGUGCUAAUACCGGAUAACGUCAUCUUACCCAGGUAAGAUGACCAAAGGUUGCGAAAGCUUCCGCUCAGGGAUGAGCCCGCGCCCUAUCAGCUGGUUGGUGGGGUAAUGGCCCACCAAGGCUAUGACGGGUAGCCGGCCUGAGAGGGUGACCGGCCACGCUGGGACUGAGACACGGCCCAGACUCCUACGGGAGGCAGCAGUAGGGAAUCUUGGGCAAUGGGCGAAAGCCUGACCCAGCGACGCCGCGUGGGGGAUGAAGGCCUUCGGGUUGUAAACCCCUGUCAGGAGGGACGAUGCCUGCCCUUGGCAGGUGACGGUACCUCCAGAGGAAGCCCCGGCCAACUACGUGCCAGCAGCCGCGGUAAUACGUAGGGGGCGAGCGUUGUUCGGAAUCACUGGGCGUAAAGCGUGCGUAGGCGGCUACGCAAGUCACAGGUGAAAGCCCUGCUUCCAAGGUAGGAAUUGCCUGUGAUACUGCGUGGCUAGAGGACAGGAGAGGGAGGCGGAACUCUGGGAGUAGCGGUGAAAUGCGUAGAUACCCAGGGGAACGCCAGUGGCGAAGGCGGCCUCCUAGCCUGUUCCUGACGCUGAGGCACGAAAGCUAGGGGAGCGAUCGGGAUUAGAUACCCCGGCAGUCCUAGCCGUAAACGAUGGGUACUAGGUGGUGGGGGGAGCAUUACCCCUCCGUGCCGAAGCUAACGCGUUAAGUACCCCGCCCUGGGGAGUACGGUCGCAAGGCUGAAACUCAAAAGAAUUGACGGGGGGCUGAACAAGCAGCGGAGCGCGUGGUUCAAUUCGAUGCAAAGCGAAGAACCUUACCAGGGCUUGACAUGCUGGUAGUAGCGGCCCGAAAGGGCUUGCGAUCCUGGCUUCGGCCAGGAAGCCAGCACAGGUGGUGCAUGGCUGUCGUCAGCUCGUGCCGUGAGGUGUUGGGUUAAGUCCCUUAACGAGCGCAACCCCUGCCCUUAGUUGCCAGCGGGUAAUGCCGGGCACUCUAAGGGGACUGCCGCCUUAAAGCGGAGGAAGGAGGGGAUGACGUCAAGUCAUCACGCCCCUUAUGCCCUGGGCUACACACGCGCUACAAUGGCUGGGACAACGGGAUGCGACCCCGCGAGGGGAAGCAAAUCCCUAAAAACCAGCCUCAGUUCGGAUUGCAGGCUGCAACUCGCCUGCAUGAAGCCGGAAUUGCUAGUAAUCGCGGAUCAGCCACGCCGCGGUGAAUACGUUCUCAGCCCUUGUACACACCGCCCGUCACACCACCCGAGUUGAGUGCACCCGAAGACAUCCAACUAACCGACCUCUGGUCGGAGGGAGGAUGUUGAAGGUGUGCUUGGCAAGGGGGAUGAAGUCGUAACAAGGUA
rnacentral:rRNA from 1 species